rnacentral:lncRNA from 10 species
AGCAUGAGACACUAUGCCUGGCCCAAUUUUUCUAUAUUCUUACUCAUUGAGUCUGCUUAAACCAGCAGUUCCAGUGAGAAGUGGUAUAAUUUCCUGCGUGGAGAAUGUGCUCAUUUAUUCAUUUUUCCUUUUCUUGACACUUUUUUGUUUUGUAGUCAUUUGGGGCUCUAUCAUUAUGCAGGUGCACACAAGAUCAGAAUGGCUAAUGCUUCUUUUUUUUGUUUUUUGUUUUCCUGUCGCCCAGGCUGGAGUGCAAUGGCGUGAUCUUGGCACACUGCAACCUUCGCGUCCCGGGUUCAAGCAGUUCUGUCUCAGCCUCCCAAGUAGCUGGGACUACAGGCAUGAGCCACCAUGCCUGGCUAAUUUUGUACUGCAGUAGAGAUGGGGUUUCACCAUGUUGUUCAGGCUGGUCUCGAACUCCUGACCUCAGGUGAUCUGCCCGCCUUGGCCUCCCAAAAUGCUGGGAUUACAGGCGUGAGCCACCGCGCCUGGCCGCUAAUACUUCUUUUAAAAUAAUUAACUUAUUUAUGUAUUUAUUCUUUUUCCCCCACCCCUCCCCCGCCAGUGAAUGCUUUGGAAUGAAUACUUAUCAGUAUGCUGCAACCACUUUUAAUCCUAAUAAUGAUUUUGCCCUGGAGCCUAUUUGUGCAAUAUGAGCUUCUCUCCACUAGCUUCCUUUUGGAUGGUCUUUGCCAGAUGUGUCUCCUUCUAUCUGUAGUAAUUAGAGCCAUUCCAGCUAUGUGUCAGAAAUAAACAAACGGGGUUUAUGAUCAAGCAUGGGCGACUUACACAAUCGUCAAAAGAAAUGGAGGAACAACUCUCAGCCCUCCGAAUCGGCCACCUCCUGGGAUCAGGAAUAAAUCCUAAUCUCAAAAUGCAGGUUCCGCCCCGCCACCGUCACAGGAAUCCUAAGAGCAUUGGCGUGAGGCUCGGCGGAGGGCAUGCUGGACCAUGUCUUCUGGUGACUUUCCCCCUCGGAGGGGCUUGGGGGUCAGGCCCACUCCUUUCCCAAACUCACUCUUUCCCCCACAGGCAACCCACUCCCUCUCCUCCAUCUCUCCUCGAGACCCACAGCAGAC